GCUCUUGUGGCGCAAUUGGCUAGCGCGUUCGACUGUUAAAUCAUCAUAACAGACGGUUUAUCGAGAGGUUGGUGGUUCGAGCCCACCCAGGAGCG